AUGAAUCUGGACGUGCCAAGCAGAGCCCAGCACCAACCCUGCCUUGUGUGUGUGUCAUUAACCAUCCGAUUUGGACUUGGUGCUGGGGGAAAACAGAUGACUGCAAGAGGAACUUCAGAAGGAUUCUUCUCGAGGCUGCCAGAUCUCACCUCACGUAAUUUUACAGCAUGGAGCCAACACAGCACUCCCCUCUCCACACUAUGGUAUCUGAGAACUGACCUGGAGAAGACCAGGAGCUGCUUUGGAGGUGCCCUCAGCCAUCUUGGUGUUCGUCCAUCAGUCGGAGAGCUUCGAGGGAAACUGGAGCGCUGCCCAUUUGGUUGGUGGGAGGAAUGGAGCCAAGAGCAAUCUGCAGAAACCACGG
rnacentral:lncRNA from 1 species